rnacentral:rRNA from 1 species
UACGAAGGGUGCAAGCGUUAAUCGGAAUUACUGGGCGUAAAGCGCACGUAGGCGGAUUGGUCAGUUAGAGGUGAAAUCCCAGAGCUCAACUCUGGAACUGCCUUUAAUACUGCCAGUCUAGAGUCCGGAAGAGGUAAGUGGAACUCCUAGUGUAGAGGUGGAAUUCGUAGAUAUUAGGAAGAACACCAGUGGCGAAGGCGGCUUACUGGUCCGGUACUGACGCUGAGGUGCGAAAGCGUGGGGAGCAAACAGG